rnacentral:rRNA from 1 species
CCAAUAGCGUAUAUUAAAGUUGUUGCAGUUAGAAAGCUCGUAGUUGAAUUUCGGGAUCAGUUGAUCGGUCGUGCCCCGGUACGUACUGGUCAAAUUGAUUCCUACCUUCUGACGAACCACGAUGUCAUUAAUUUGGUGUCGCGGGAAAUCAGGACUGUUACUUUGAAAAAAUUAGAGUGUUUAAAGCAGGCUCGCGCUUGAAUACAUUAGCAUGGAAUAAUGAAAUAGGACGUUUGAUUCUAUUUUGUUGGUCUCUAGGAUCGACGUAAUGAUUAAUAGGGAUAGUUGGGGGCAUUAGUAUUCAAUUGUCAGAGGUGAAAUUCUUGGAUUUAUUGAAGACUAACUACUGCGAAAGCAUUUGCCAAGGAUGUUUUCAUUAAUCAAGAACGAAAGUUAGGGGAUCGAAGACGAUCAGAUACCGUCGUAGUCUUAACCAUAAACUAUGCCGACUAGGGAUCGGAUGAUGUUAAUUUUUUAAUGACUCAUUCGGCGCCUUACG